rnacentral:sRNA from 1 species
ACUCAACACUAAUCAAUUAGAAUGAGCAAAUCAUCGUUACUAAAGCAAGUCCGCUUCGGUGGAAAGCUUGAACAGCGAGUUAGCUCAAAACUUGUAUUUCAGAGUUU